rnacentral:rRNA from 1 species
GAUGAACGCUGGCGGCGUGCCUAAUACAUGCAAGUCGAGCGAACAGACGAGGAGCUUGCUCCUCUGACGUUAGCGGCGGACGGGUGAGUAACACGUGGAUAACCUACCUAUAAGACUGGGAUAACUUCGGGAAACCGGAGCUAAUACCGGAUAAUAUAUUGAACCGCAUGGUUCAAUAGUGAAAGACGGUUUUGCUGUCACUUAUAGAUGGAUCCGCGCCGCAUUAGCUAGUUGGUAAGGUAACGGCUUACCAAGGCAACGAUGCGUAGCCGACCUGAGAGGGUAAUCGGCCACACUGGAACUGAGACACGGUCCAGACUCCUACGGAAGGCAGCAGUAGGGAAUCUUCCGCAAGGGGCGAAAGCCUGACGGAGCAACGCCGCGGGAGUGAUGAAGGUCUUCGGAUCGUAAAACUCUGUUAUUAGGGAAGAACAAAUGUGUAAGUAACUAUGCACGUCUGGACGGUACCUAAUCAGAAAGCCACGGCUAACUACGU